rnacentral:rRNA from 1 species
ACGAACGCUGGCGGCGUGCCUCAUCCAUGCAAGUCGAACGCUUCUUUCCUCCCGAGUGCUUGCACUCAAUUGGAAAGAGGAGUGGCGGACGGGUGAGUAACACGUGGGUAACCUACCCAUCAGAGGGGGAUAACACUUGGAAACAGGUGCUAAUACCGCAUAACAGUUUAUGCCGCAUGGCAUAAGAGUGAAAGGCGCUUUCGGGUGUCGCUGAUGGAUGGACCCGCGGUGCAUUAGCUAGUUGGUGAGGUAACGGCUCACCAAGGCCACGAUGCAUAGCCGACCUGAGAGGGUGAUCGGCCACACUGGGACUGAGACACGGCCCAGACUCCUACGGGAGGCAGCAGUAGGGAAUCUUCGGCAAUGGACGAAAGUCUGACCGAGCAACGCCGCGUGAGUGAAGAAGGUUUGCGGAUCGUAAAACUCUGUUGUUAGAGAAGAACAAGGACGUUAGUAACUGAACGUCCCCUGACGGUAUCUAACCAGAAAGCCACGGCUAACUACGU